GGUGAGUAACGCGUGGGUAACCUACCCUGUACACACGGAUAACAGACCGAAAGGUAUGCUAAUACGGGAUAAUAUAUUUGAGAGGCAUCUCUUGAAUAUCAAAGGUGAGCAAGUACAGGAUGGACCCGCGUCUGAUUAGCUAGUUGGUAAGGUAACGGCUUACCAAGGCGACGAUCAGUAGCCGACCUGAGAGGGUGAUCGGCCACAUGGGAACUGAGACACGGUCCAAACUCCUACGGGAGGCAGCCGUGGGGAAUAUUGCACAAUGGGCGAAAGCCUGAUGCAGCAACGCCGCGUGAGGAAUGAAGGCCUUCGGGUCGUAAAACUCUGUCCUCAAGGAAGAUAAUGACGGUACUUGAGUAGGAAGCCCCGGCU
rnacentral:rRNA from 1 species